UACGUAGGGGGCUAGCGUUGUCCGGAAUCAUUGGGCGUAAAGCGCGUGUAGGCGGUCCGGUAAGUCCGCUGUGAAAGUCGGGGGCUCAACCCUCGAAUGCCGGUGGAUACUGUCGGGCUAGAGUGCGGAAGAGGCGAGUGGAAUUCCUGGUGUAGCGGUGAAAUGCGCAGAUAUCAGGAGGAACAUCAAUUGCGAAGGCAGCUCGCUGGGACGUUACUGACGCUGAGACGCGAAAGCGUGGGGAGCAAACAGG
rnacentral:rRNA from 1 species